rnacentral:rRNA from 1 species
UGAUCGUUCGGAGAUGGUUCUUCCCUUUUGGGCUGGUGUACAGGUGGGGCAUGGGUGUCGUCAGCUCGUGUCGNGAGAUGUUGGGUUAAGUCCCGCAACGAGCGCAACCCUCGUUCUAUGUUGCCAGCACGUGAUGGUGGGGACUCAUAGGAGACUGCCGGGGUCAACUCGGAGGAAGGUGGGGAUGACGUCAAAUCAUCAUGCCCCUUAUGUCUUGGGCUUCACGCAUGCUACAAUGGCCGGUACAAUGGGUUGCGAUACUGUGAGGUGGAGCUAAUCCCAAAAAGCCGGUCUCAGUUCGGAUUGGGGUCUGCAACUCGACCCCAUGAAGUCGGAAUCGCUAGUAAUCGCAGAUCAGCAACGCUGCGGUAAAUACUUUCCCGGGCUG